rnacentral:rRNA from 1 species
CCUACGGGUGGCAGCAGUGAGGAAUAUUGGUCAAUGGUCGGGAGACUGAACCAGCCAAGCCGCGUGAGGGAGGAAGGUCCAGAGUAUCGUAAACCUCUUUUGUCAGGGAACAAAGACUGGGACGCGUCCCCGGAUGAGUGUACCUGAAGAAAAAGCAUCGGCUAACUCCGUGCCAGCAGCCGCGGUAAGACGGAGGAUGCGAGGGUUAUCCGGAUUUAUUGGGUUUAAAGGGUGGGCGGGCGGUCUGUUAAGUCAGCGGGAAAAGCCCGGGGCCAAACCCCGGCCCGCCGUUGAAACUGGCAGGCUCGAGUUGGAGAGAAGUAUGCGGAAUGCGCGGUGUAGCGGUGAAAUGCAUAGAUAGCGCGCAGAACUCCGAUUGCGAAGGCAGCAUGCCGGCUCCACACUGACGCUGAGGCACGAAAGCGUGGGUAUCGAACAGGAGUAGAUACCCCGGUAGUC